rnacentral:siRNA from 1 species
UUCCUAAGGAUGGGAUAAUCGA